rnacentral:rRNA from 1 species
UACAGAGGUCUCAAGCGUUGUUCGGAUUCAUUGGGCGUAAAGGGCGCGUAGGCGGUGGGGUAAGUCUGGUGUGAAAUCUCGGAGCUCAACUCCGCAAUUGCACUGGAUACUGCUCUGCUAGAGGGCUGGAGAGGAGAUCGGAAUUCACGGUGUAGCAGUGAAAUGCGUAGAUAUCGGGAGGAAUACCUAUGGCGAAAGCGGGCUACUGGGCCGUCACUGACUCUGAUCUGCGAAAGCUAGGGGAGCAAACAGG